AGCGAACGCUGGCGGCAGGCCUAACACAUGCAAGUCGAACGGACCCUUCGGGGUUAGUGGCGGACGGGUGAGUAACACGUGGGAACGUGCCUUUAGGUUCGGAAUAGCUCCUGGAAACGGGUGGUAAUGCCGAAUGUGCCCUUCGGGGGAAAGAUUUAUCGCCUUUAGAGCGGCCCGCGUCUGAUUAGCUAGUUGGUGAGGUAAUGGCUCACCAAGGCGACGAUCAGUAGCUGGGCUGAGAGGAUGACCAGCCACACUGGGACUGAGACACGGCCCAGACUCCUACGGGAGGCAGCAGUGGGGAAUCUUGCGCAAUGGGCGAAAGCCUGACGCAGCCAUGCCGCGUGAAUGAUGAAGGUCUUAGGAUUGUAAAAUUCUUUCACCGGGGACGAUAAUGACGGUACCCGGAGAAGAAGCCCCGGCUAACUUCGUGCCAGCCGCCGCGGUAAAAC
rnacentral:rRNA from 1 species